rnacentral:lncRNA from 1 species
AUGCAGCUAGGAACAGGAGAGAAAACAGUGUUGUCUGGUGUGUUGUCUAGACUGGAGAGGCUGGGCUGCAGGCUGCGGUGGUGCUGUGUGUGUGGGGAGAGGCAGAGGGGUGACCGGGCUGUGGAGUGCACAGUCCCAGGCUGCCAGGCGGCCUACUGUCCCCAGUGCUGGAGGGACCUGGGCAGGAUCUGUUACGCCUGUGUCCCCACUAGUAACUGGGAUCCAGUAGAAAGCUGUUCAGACACAGACAUGUACUAUGUCCAUUAGGGUGACCACCUAAAUCACAUGCAGACACAGUAAAGAUAUUUAGCAUAUUAGCCCAUUACAGGUUUUGGUCCUCAAUCUUCUUCAAUAACAAUAAAAGCAAACUUGCCGAAUGAACAGUUGUUCAUCACACACUGUUAAAUAUUUAUCUUGGUUCAUUUCUUUCAAGUAUUGUUCUGAAGGAAAUUGUUUCAUUCCUUGAAUCCCUGUCCAAAGUUCUAUUUCAUGUGACUAAUUAAUAGUUAAAUCACUAGACAUGUAUAACAACAGCAUUUGCUUCUCCAGAGGUUUUAUUUAUUUAGCAAUGCUGACAAUUGACAACUGGAGAUCCAGCUAAUUAUUUGGGAUGUUCAGACAAUAGGAUGACAUAUUGUCAGAUUAAAUAGCCUAUGUCUGUGUAAGGUAAACGUUUGCAUAAUUUAGUCACACUUAAUUAUCUUAAAUGCAGGAUUUUAUAAAUCGAUUUUUUAUUUUAUUUUUUAUUUGCUAUAUAUAAAUGUUGUGUAAGGUUUGUUAGAAGGCCGUCUAGAAUGUGACCGCGCAGAAAGAUUCAGGCAGUAAAGAGUUAAAGCACAAGAGAAAAUCCCGCCCUGUACGGGGGUUGAAAUGCGAUUACACCAUCGCUGUAAACACGCACUCAGUCUUUUGCCGAAUGUCUUGCAUGUGCGAAACUGUCUGCCUUUCAGGAAUUAAGAUAUUCUGGAUAGCACUUUGGGAGUUUAACAAGAUCACAGUGGCUCAUCUCCGCUACGGAAGGGACAUAUGUUGUAGUAGCUCUUGAGUGUGAAGGUAACGGUACUGGAAAUAUGACCCUGCGAUAACUGCGGCCAGAGGCUACGGACAGCGGGCCGGUCUUGUUUAGAGGUUUAUUACAGGACUUUAUGGUGUGGGCUAAUGGCGCAGGUAAAUGAAGCCUCUUGAAAUAAAGUUACACGUUCGAUUGACUGGCCCAUGCAACACUUCUGCUCUGCGCGUGCUUUUGUGGAUGCCAAUCAUGGACUUUCGCUUGACAUUUGCCCUUGUAGGCAAAUUGAGGUAGCCACAUAGUUGCCUCCGACAGAACCUGUUGCCUUUCUCCGUUUCUGAAUGCCUUGUUUUACA